rnacentral:rRNA from 1 species
UACGGAGGGGGCUAGCGUUGUUCGGAAUUACUGGGCGUAAAGCGCACGUAGGCGGCUUGGUAAGUUAGAGGUGAAAGCCCAGAGCUCAACUCUGGAAUUGCCUUUAAGACUGCAUCGCUUGAAUCGUGGAGAGGUUAGUGGAAUUCCGAGUGUAGAGGUGAAAUUCGUAGAUAUUCGGAAGAACACCAGUGGCGAAGGCGACUAACUGGACACGUAUUGACGCUGAGGUACGAAAGCGUGGGGAGCAAACAGG